UCCGACUUUGCGCCGGCGGUCUCCUGCGAAAUAUGCAACACAGGACGUGGGUUGCGCUCGUUUAUGGACUGAACCAAACACCUCAAGGCACGAGCUGACGACAACCAUGCAGCACCUGUCACCGAGUUCCUUGCGGCACACCCAAAUUUCUUCGGGCUUCUCGGGAUGUCAAGCCUAGGUAAGGUUCCUCGCUUACCGUCGAAUUAAACAACAUGCUCCACCGCUUGUGUGGGUCCCCGUCUAUUCCUUUGAGUUUUAAUCUUGCGAUCGUACUACCCAGGCGGAGAACUUAACGCGUUAGCUUAGGCACAGAAGGGGUCGAUACCUUCUACACCGAGUUCUCAUCGUUUACGGCGUGGACUAC
rnacentral:misc_RNA from 1 species